UAAAUAGCAAGCUGAUGAUUGCAUGAAGAUAUUACCAAGAAUUGCAGUAGUUAGUUUCAGAAACAUCUGUGGGUGUCAGCUAACAAAGAGGUACAAUAGAUUCCUAAUGAUACCAACAGGAUUACUUGUGGUUUCCAUAUUACUGCAGAAAAGAAAAUGAUGAAAGGAACGAUACCCCUAAUCCCAGCAUCG